rnacentral:snRNA from 1 species
AGCUUUGCACAGUGGCAGUAUCAUAACCAAUGAAGUGAAUCUGAGAAUGUGAUUAUUGCUACUUGAAAAUCCGCUUCUCUCCCCCUUCCUGGUGGUAGAUGGUACAGUACUACUGUAGACAGCCAAGAAACUGUUACCAUUCGCCUCUUUUUGUUAGCACUCACCAGUA